GACAGAGGAGCCAAGCGUUGUCCGGAUUGACUGGGCGUAAAGCGCACGCAGGCGGCCCGGCGCGUGGGGUGUGAAAGCUGGCGGCUUAACUGCCAGACGCCAUCCCAUGCGGCUGGGCUCGAGCCCUGCAGAGGUCCAUGGAAUUGCCGGUGUAGUGGUGAAAUGCGUAGAGAUCGGCAGGAACACCCAGGGGGAAACCAGUGGACUGGGCAGGAGCUGACGCUCAGGUGCGAAAGCGUGGGGAGCGAACCGG
rnacentral:rRNA from 1 species